AGACUCCCAAGAAAUCGGAUACCCAUAAUUUUCUAUAGAAGAUAAAGAGAAAGGAUCUAAAUUAGGUUUUGAAGAACAAAGAGGGCUUGUGUUGGAACUUGGGUGAGUCACUAAUAUGUGAAUCAAUAUAUAGACAGAGGAGAGGGAGAGAAUGAAAGCUUGGUGAGAGAUAAACUUUACAAGGGAUCACAUGGUUGUGUAUUCCAAAACAUCUGAAAGGGUGGGGACAAAUGAGUUGGAAUGUGUUCUAUUGGUGGGAUACUCAUUACAUCACAACUUGUGUUGAAGGCAAUGGGUUGGAUAC
rnacentral:lncRNA from 1 species